GACGAACGCUGGCGGCGUGCUUAACACAUGCAAGUCGAACGGUAAGGCCCUUCGGGGUACACGAGUGGCGAACGGGUGAGUAACACGUGGGUGAUCUGCCCUGCACUUCGGGAUAAGCCUGGGAAACUGGGUCUAAUACCGGAUAGGACCCUGGGAUGCAUGUCCUGGGGUGGAAAGCUUUUGCGGUGUGGGAUGGGCCCGCGGCCUAUCAGCUUGUUGGUGGGGUGAUGGCCUACCAAGGCGACGACGGGUAGCCGGCCUGCGAGGGUGACCGGCCACACUGGGACUGAGAUACGGCCCAGACUCCUACGGGAGGCAGCAGUGGGGAAUAUUGCACAAUGGGCGCAAGCCUGAUGCAGCGACGCCGCGUGAGGGAUGACGGCCUUCGGGUUGUAAACCUCUUUCAGCUAUGACGAAGCGCAAGUGACGGUAGUAGCAGAAGAAGGACCGGCCAACUACGUGCCAGCCGCCGCCGUAA
rnacentral:rRNA from 1 species